rnacentral:rRNA from 1 species
GACGAACGCUGGCGGCGUGCUUAACACAUGCAAGUCGAGCGGGAUCCAACCGGUGGCAACACCGGGGAAGAUCUAGCGGCGAACGGGUGAGUAACACGUGAGCAACCUGCCCCGAAGACUGGGAUAACACCGGGAAACCGGUGCUAAUACCGGAUGUCGUCAUUAGGCCGCAUGACCUGAUGAUGAAAGGAUUCAUCGCUUCGGGAGGGGCUCGCGGGCUAUCAGCUUGNGGUGGGGUAACGGCCUACCAAGGCGACGACGGCUAGCUGGUCUGAGAGGACGACCAGCCACACUGGAACUGAGACACGGUCCAGACACCUACGGGUGGCAGCAGUCGAGAAUUUUUCUCAAUGGGCGAAAGCCUGAAGGAGCGACGCCGCGUGGGGAUGGAAGGGCUUCGGUCCGUAAACCCCUGUCAUUUG